ACGUGGAAGAAUGAAGGAACAUGAUUGGUGGAAGCUUGAAUGAUGCGUUGGCAGAGUUUGAUUGGCUGAAGGAAGAUGAGAGCAAGAGGAAGAUAUAGAGAGCCUCGAGAGAUCAGUUGCAGAGAAAUCAUUUUUAGUUGUAUCUUUUCUUCUUCUUCUUAGUUUGUUAUGAGAUUAUGGUGUUGUACUCAUCUAGAUCGAGAUCUCUCUGUUAGAUCUUCGUCAUUUGAGAUAUCGGCUCGCGUUUUAUGAACGUUAGUUCGAUUUGGUUCCGGUUACAAUUUGUAUUGAAGCAUUGGUGAAUUUGUUCUUUAUCAUGGAGAUCUCUUCAAACCCUAGCCUACGAAGAGGUCCGAUCCUCCGGGGGACUGGAAGAAUGAAUCUACAGCUCUCAUCCGAUGAAUCUCAUGUUUGUGUACACAGAUUGGAAGAUGAUACUGGUCGAUUUGAGGAAUCCGCCUCAUGAUUCCGCUUAGGAUUUAGUUGAUUUUGGUGAACGCAAGUGGAUGGAUAUGGUUAUUGGUCAUUCCUUGCUCGUGGUGAUUAUGGACAGCUAUGGGUGCUAGACUUUGUCCCUGGGGAAGUCAAGGCACACCAAAGUGGUGGUCAAGUAGAGGAAUUUCUGCAAACUUACCUUCACCAAUCCCUUCCCGCAUUUAAAGUCACGUUCUUUCUGUUGUUCUUGGUGUUUGUCUACCCACUCGACUGUUUGUUCACAGCUUAGUAGUUCCAUUUACGGUUAAUGUUCCAAAUUGAUAUCCACACGAAAGCAGAUAUAUAUACUGCUCACUUUGAAAUCUCGGGUGAACGUUAGUUACUAUAUAUGUGGUGUAUAACAUCUCUCUGAUUUAGCUGUUGUUGCAGAUGCAAGGGCACUUUUUGGUGUGUUUUUUUUGGCAUGUAUGAGAGUAAAACCGCAUCUGCAUAUAUAGUUAACUGGAGUUAAAUAGUAUGCUUAUAUGAUCUCUUCUAGCUGAUUAUGUUACACCUAACCUAGUGGCUAGUGCCACUCAAACAUUUUUUUUGGAUUCUAGAUGGCUUGUGGAUCAUAGGGUCGAAAUUGGGUCCUCAAGAUCGUUAUUUGAGUGGAUUAAGCACUUGGCAGCCACCUCAAUACUCUAGAGAUCCGGAGACUCAGAGACAUGGGCCUUUAAGCUUGUCAGGUCUGUCCAAAUGGUCAACUCUUACAGGGAGCCUUCAUACUGGUCAUUGCUAGAUAAUCUACCAAAAGACUCAAAAAUCUCUUUUGUGAAUGCAGAAAAAGAAGUGACCGAUGGGACCACGAUACAACCAAUGCGGCUUGAUACAAUUGCUACUUAAUUCUAAAAAAAUUGAUUACUACUAAUGCUAUUCUGGUUCGCCUCUUUCGCUAGCUAUAUGCGGAUCAGCAACCACACCCUAGCUUCCCUUCUUCCUUCAUCUGUUCAAAACCGUGGAUAUCGUAAAUGCAUAGUGCAAGUUUUGGUGGAAUUGUAGUCGAGGAGAAAGACAAGAGAGCCAAAGGAAGAUAAUGUGACUCUUGGACCUGCUGUUCGUGAAGCACAUGACUGAUUUGUCUGGACGGGAAACCCGUGUUCGCAUCACUGGUGGAAUGAAGGUGAAAGCCGACAGGGAUGAGAGUCUGCACCGUAUUUGCAGAUAUGCUUGCUGCACAAAAUGUCGCUUAGCGAUGCAAGAGGAUGUGACUCCAAUCCCAAACGACAGACCCGCAGAAAGGGUGGCAGAAGAGGAGAGUUUUUUUUUUGGCGUCGCUGGAUCCUCUUAUGGGCUCUACUCUCAAUGUUUCAUAAUUGUUCUUUCUUUCUUAAGAGUUUUGAAUUUACUAUGCUUUAUUAUAGUAUCAACUCUGAACAGCUUUGGAUCUUCUGUUAUAUGCUAAGAUAUUCAAAAUUGGUACUCAAUUUAUCUCAUGAACAUCUUGGAUUUUUACU